rnacentral:rRNA from 1 species
UCCAGACUCCUACGGGAGGCAGCAGUGAGGAAUAUUGGUCAAUGGGCGUAAGCCUGAACCAGCCAAGUCGCGUGAGGGAUGAAGGAUCUAUGGUUCGUAAACCUCUUUUAUAAGGGAAUAAAGUGCGGGACGUGUCCUGUUUUGUAUGUACCUUAUGAAUAAGGAUCGGCUAACUCCGUGCCAGCAGCCGCGGUAAUACGGAGGAUCCGAGCGUUAUCCGGAUUUAUUGGGUUUAAAGGGUGCGUAGGCGGGCUGUUAAGUCAGCGGUCAAAUGUCGGGGCUCAACCCCGGCCUGCCGUUGAAACUGGCGGCCUCGAGUGGGCGAGAAGUAUGCGGAAUGCGUGGUGUAGCGGUGAAAUGCAUAGAUAUCACGCAGAACUCCGAUUGCGAAGGCAGCAUACCGGCGCCCGACUGACGCUGAGGCACGAAGGCGUGGGUAUCGAACAGGAUUAGAUACCCUCGUA